rnacentral:rRNA from 1 species
CCUACGGGAGGCAGCAGUGGGGGAUAUUGCACAAUGGGGGGAACCCUGAUGCAGCGACGCCGCGUGGGUGAAGAAGCGCCUCGGCGCGUAAAGCCCUGUCAGCAGGGAAGAAAAUGACGGUACCUGAAGAAGAAGCCCCGGCUAACUACGUGCCAGCAGCCGCGGUAAUACGUAGGGGGCAAGCGUUAUCCGGAUUUACUGGGUGUAAGGGGGGCGCAGACGGCGAUGCAAGCCAGGAGUGAAAGCCCGGGGCCCAACCCCGGGCUGUUCUUGGAACUGCGGGGCUGGAGGGCAGGAGGGGCGGGGGGAAUGCCGGGGGUAGCGGUGAAAUGGGUAGAUAUCGGGAGGAACCCCGGUGGCGAAGGCGGCCUGCUGGACUGCAACUGACGUGGGGGCCCGAAAGCGUGGGGAGCAACAGGAUUAGAUACCCGAGUAGUC